rnacentral:lncRNA from 1 species
CCACUCUCGAUCUUUUCUUUACUGUGUGCAUGUGUGUGCUUUUUCCGAUGUGAAUUAGUAAUGGGUGUGUAUCAUUAGAUCUCCCAGUGUGUGUGUGUAUAGCAUCGUGAAGAAGCUCCCUACUGUGUGUGUGUGGAAAUCUGUGUAUUCUCUGAAGAAUAAGGAGGCUGGAGAAGAAGAUAAAGGGGAUAUUUAGUUUUCUUUUAAAAAAAAUAUUAUAAUUCUUUUUAAAUUAUAAUUUAAUUAGUUAUAAAAAAAUUAAAUUAUUUUUGGAUUUUAAUGCUACGUGUCACCUUUUAAUUCGUCAUUUUUGCCACAUCAGCGCUUGUGUGUUGCACACUUGAGCUUUUUGCUGAUUGUCCAGAAAAGGUUUGACUGGAUCAAAUUUCAGGCGGGUUAAGGGUUUGAUAGGUACAGGACUUAGUUGAGGGGUCUAAAAGAAUUUUUGGGACAACUUUAAGUGUCUGGCAAUGACUUUAUUCAAAACUCCUUUACAUAUCAAAGAAGUGAAUCUGAAAUUGUAAAUAUUUUUCUUGAAUUGUUUAUAGAGGCCGAUCAAGAAAUCUCUAUUUUGGCUUUUGGUACUGCUAUGAAAGGCUACAAUAAGUUGCAGAAGUAUAGCAACACUAUUGUGUUGUAUAAGAUAACGAGAUCAGC